rnacentral:rRNA from 1 species
GACGAACCGUGCGAACGUUGUUCGGAUUCACUGGGCUUAAAGGGCGCGUAGGCGGACUCGCAAGUCUGUGGUGAAAGCCCCCAGCUCAACUGGGGAAGUGCCGUGGAUACUGCAAGUCUGGAGGAGGGUAGGGGCAUCUGGAACGCUGGGUGGAGCGGUGAAAUGCGUUGAUAUCCAGCGGAACUCCGGUGGCGAAGGCGAGGUGCUGGACCCUUUCUGACGCUGAGGCGCGAAAGCCAGGGGAGCAAACAGG